ACAGUUUAGUGCAAACGUUUCCAGCGCAAAUUUGAAUCUUUCAGUCAGUCAGGGGGGAGAUUAACUGACAGACUGUCUAACGUUACUCUCUACCAAACAGUCAUUUACCCAGAAACCUUUUAAAGUUUAGCACAAACGUUUCCAGCGCAAGUUUGAAUCUCUCAGUCAGGGAGAUUGACUGACUGACUGUCUACUCGCCACCAAACAGUAAUUUACCCAGAAACCUUUUAAAGUAAGGACUAACGUUAACUGACUGUCUGUCUGUCUGUCUGCCUGCUCUCAACCAAACAUUCAUUCAAAACCUUUUAAAGUUUAGCACAAACGUUUCCCGCACAAACGUUUCCCGCGCAAGUUUGAAUCUCUCUCAGUCAGGGGGAGAUUGACUGACCGACUGACUGUCUACUCGCCACCAAACAGUCAUUUACCCAGAAACCUUUUAAAGAGCACCGAUGUUGUGGAAAGGCAGACCAGAGGGAUAUGGUGAGGCUGUCUCCUACUGUACAGGUGGAGGAGAAGUUCUCCUCAAUGGCCUUGCAGAUGUUCUGGCUGACUUUGGAAUGCUUUUUGGACUGUUUUAUGCUCUCUGUUUAGAGUGGACUUAAUUCUGUAUGUUCAGUCUGUAUGAUUAAUGAUUGUAAUGAAUUAUAAGCUUUUGUUUUUAUGUGACUGAAGUUAAUAAUUUGUUAACAACACCAGCAUUAUUUGGUAAAUAAUAAAAAACAUUUAAUAAAAAUUCCUAAAUCAUAAAUAAUAAUCGAAGAGACAAAUAAAAAACAACAAUCCAGGUAACACUUUGGAGACAGAAAUUGAGUGAACGUAAAAUUUCUGUUGAAUAGUUACUAAAAAAUAAUUGAGCCAACAAUUGUUUUGAAUUAACAAUUUUACAUUAGUCCAAGUAACUUGAAAUAA